UAUCCACCACCCCUUUUAUUCAGUGAUAUCAUGGGUAGUGCGACGGUUUGGUUUGGUUUACGCAAAAUGGGAAAGGUGAGGGGAAGGGGAUGAUGUUCCAGUUCCACAAUGCUGUUGCUAGUUGCUAGUUGCUACUGACUGAGAAAGGGUUUAAUCAAACGAAUUGCUGCUGCUAUUGGUGAUCAUUUCAGGUUAGGCUUAAGAGGACAAAAAGGAAGACCAAGAAGUGUGUGAUGCCCCCAAUCCUCACGAGGGUUCCCUCAUUAGGGCAAUAGUCAUUUUUAGUUGGUAUCAAUCAUGAAAAGGUGUGAAUAAGCAGCCCCCAAUAAAUGAUGAGACAUAGCAGUGGCUGCCAAGUGAAUUCUGUAAUUUAUAUGAUAACAUUCCACCGGAACAGAGUUUUCUAGUGGGGAUAGUACUAUGUGUGGAUUCUGAAUUCAAAUUUGAUGGACGUGAGGGGGGCUUUGAUCAACAUGGUAUUGCCAAAGAGGUGAGGUCCAAGCAAGAGAUGGCAUCACGGUGGCAAUGUCCUAGAGUGAAUGACCACCAGGUUCUAGCCAGGAUGAAAAUCAUUAUUGGAGCACAAGAUUCAUCAAUUUCAACAGCUCUUUUUUACUCAGAUUCCCAACAUUAUUACAAUCUUUUACUCAAAUCCCAAACAUCACAUAUACCUAAUUUUAAAAGUAAUAAACUAUAAAAUAUAUCAUUUCACAACCCAAACAAAACGCCACAAACCCCCCAACAACAAAUAUUUUACUUUCUAUGUAUUCACCAACCACAUAUCAUGGAACUAAGUGGAGGAUUGUACUUCCAAAGCCUGUGAGUGUGAGACCAGAGGAGUUAGAAAGGAUUAAAAAAGCUGGUGGCCAUAUUGUUUAUUGAGAUGGCUUACGAGUUCAUGGAAUCCUCCAUAUGUCUCGCUCACUAGUAUUUCUCCAUAAAAAGUGUAAUGGGACCAACGACUGAGGUGGAGUCCUCUCUCAAAGAACAUAACGCAUACCACACCUAUAACUACAACCUUUACUAUGAACUAUGAAGCUAGGGAUGAGGAGGCAUCAUCUUUAGCACUACUAAUAGAACAUCUUAAACACAAAGAAACAAUGUCACAAACGAAGGAACCUCGACCCAACAAGCUAUUGCAGCAAUUGAGCCUUAAUCAUCAUCAACUGGUAAUGUGAAGGGGUUGGACAAUAACGAAAUGAACAUGUCCGACUGCUAUUGUUGAUCCUGGAUUGCUCCCCGAAGUUAACAAGAAUUAUUAUUCUCUCAUUGACAUGAAGACGAGCUAAACCAACACCAAUGAGAUUUCAAGCAUUGAUUAUUUUGUUUGAAAAUUUUCCCCAUAUGCAUAACUGAUUUAAAAGUGUAUAUAUGGGAAAAGAAAGAUACAUUCUUUGAAUUUUUUAUUGCUUAGAAUUUGAAAAGGUGGGGUGGAAAAUUGGAAAAGAAAAUCCAUUUUCUAUACAAGCUGGUUUUGUGUUUCUGGUUAUAUAAUAUCGUUCCCGGACCCUUGCAAUA